UGUCAUUUCAAUUCCUUACUUGUCUUGCUGUUUUUUAUAUUUUUAAUUUGUUCUUGGUGUGCUUUGUGGAAGAUCCAACCCAAGCACUCUUGUUCAUUUGAUCUUGAACAAGUUCUUGUGCAAUUUGUGAUAGGAUUCCAUACACCUUUGUGUUGCUAUUUUUGUUUUAGGCUUUGAGUCUUUAUUGCUUUCAUUAUUUUGCUUCAUAUUAUGCUUUGAGUCUUUAAAUUUCUGAAUCUAUACAUGUUUUGUCAAGUCAUGUUCAUCCAUAUUGU
rnacentral:lncRNA from 1 species